GUCUCGAUAGCCUCGAACUCACAGUGACCCUACUGUGCGCUGGGAGCACAGGCGUGCGCCACAGCUGGGCUAAAUGGCAAGUGCUCUGUGCUCACGGUUAGCAGAGAGGGUCAGGGAUCCUCGUAAACACAAGUUUCACAAUCAUGGGCUGAUCUCGUUCUGCCCCAGGACUUCACAGAGCUGGGAUCUCUUCAGGCCAUGCUGCGUGCCUGCUUUCUUUGUGUCAGAAUAGAACCUGCCCUGAAAUUUACUCCAGACGGACCUAAGGCCUACACGCCAUAGCUAAAGCUAUAAAACUCUGAACACAAGGCACGCAGGAGAGCCCGUGACAGCACAUCUGCCAGUGCUUCCUCCACAUGAUGCCAAAAGGACAGGCAACAACAACAAAAAAGGAGAUUCCACAGGAGAACCAGCAACCUCGGCAGUGCACACCAACCAGGAGGCAGAUCACCAGUUCCUCCUCCGCCGGCCUCCAAACCCGGCCUCUCCUGUUUCUCAUCUGGUGACACGGGGCCUGGAGUGAGAGGGAAUCCUCGGGCGCAGGCCUUGGCAAGUUCGGAGCCCGCGGGCCUCUGUGGGGACCCGAGAGGAGACUCUGCCUUCUCCUAGGCCCGCCAGCUUCCUCCCUUCGCCUUCAGGCUCGACCAGCAUCGUGCAGUGAACUAUUCUGCAGCAUUGGAAAUGUUCUCCGGUCCAAGGAUUUGACCAACUGUGGAUCAAAAAUACUCAAAACAAAUGCGUCUGUACUGAACGUGUACUGACAUUUCGUUUUCUUCUCACUAUUCCCUAAAUAGGGCCAAAUGCAGUGGUGCAAACCUGUAAUGCCAGCACU